GGGCUCAGUGGCAGAGCAUCUGCUCGGCAUGCAGAAGGUCACAGGUUCAAUCCUUGGCAUCUCCA
rnacentral:tRNA from 1 species